rnacentral:lncRNA from 1 species
UCCCAUCAAGCCGAAACAUAGGCAUGUUCUGCAUCGACUGAACAUAAUGGCCUCUUUGUGACCCGUGGUACCAAUAUUUUCCAUAAUGGGGAACAAUGAACUUGCACACAUCGUUAAUCGUGGUGCAACAAUCCCACACAGUCUUCACACUAUUCUAGUGUCAAUUUGCUUGUAAAUGAUAAGGGGCAGUGUUAGUUCAUCCCGUGCUGCCAUAUGCAUUGGUGAGGACUGUAUAAUUCGAUCAUCUUCUUGAUGCCAACUCGGUGGGAGUGUGGCGCCAUGAACACUUAGGAGAUACAUUAUCUCCCGAUUGCUGGUUGGGUCAUUGUCAACCUGAGAUCCAUACUCAUCUUUGAAAAGACGGUCAGUUGGGCCCCCAAUGGGAAAUGGCUUGCCCUGAAAAAAAGUUUAUCACCUUGGAAAAGCUUCCUCGCAAUAUUAUCGGAUUGAAAAACAACCUUGUGUCCCAACAAGUGCAGUAAAAUUUGGAAGGUACUGCAAUCGAUGUCGCUUGCUAGAUGGUAGGUGCUUGGAAGUAGGCACCCAGCCACCUAUAAACAUAAUGGAGAGGGAAAACCCAUGCGAGCAUGUCCCAAACUCUUUGAAGUGUUAGUCGCCACAUUGAGCCCAUUAUAGAUACUGCAUAAGACGGGUUGGGCUUAUGGCCUUGGCCAAAUCACAAGCCAUAUAAAGGUACUCGGUCCUAACUUCAGGACCCAAUAUAGGACGUCGAGUAGAUGGUAUCAAUUAGGUCUGUGGGACGGGGAGGCAUCUCAACCUUAAGGACAGGGGGCUUGUUACUUGAAAUUAAAAUAGGGUUGCCUGGUUCCCCUAUAGCCCUGUCUGAAUCGAAGAAAUGGGUGAUCCACACUUUAGGGCCUCCUUAAAGAGAAGCCAACUUCCAAAACUCCUUGAAUGGCCUUCUCAAGGCUGUCGGCUUUCGAAGGCCGGGAUAAACUUUAUCCUCAAGUAUGAUGUCAUUAUCUGGGAUAAACUCCUCAUAACGAUCUCCAAGAAGGGAAAGAUCGUCAAUGAAAUGAAGAUCCAAGAGAGACAUGACGGCCUCCCCAUGGUCAAAGAAGUUGGUGUUUUUCGCUCAACACUAGGUCUCCAAGUAUGCCCUCACCACGUUAGUGUAACGAUCAUAUGACCAGGUCAAACAUUCGCAGGCGCCUAAGAGUUCUGUGCUUAUGAGAUCAUUUUAGAAGCUGCUCUCUUCCUCACAUCUAAACUUGAGGGAUCCUGUCAGGUAGUACGCUUGGCAAUUUGAUGUGCAAGUAUAGGAAAUAUUCUAUUUCCAACGACAAUUUUAUGCUCAUAAUGGAGAAGGAGGCUUUAUGGAGGAAGACCCCUAUGAUAAUCCUUGCUAAACUUGCCAAGGCCAAGAGGCUCGAUCAAAUAAUUGAUAGAAAGGGGCCAUCUUAGAUAUUCAUUGACAUUGCCGUUAGCUUGGCAUACGGGUCUAUGACGAGCUAAUUCCACCCCGGUGCACUUUUCCCACCAGUCCUCUACUCCUUCAAGAAUUUCUUGGGACACAUGACAUCUAAAAUAGGAGAAAAGAGUUUCAUUUAAUCGAAACUUAUCUGCAUGUCAUUCAUAUUGGUCUAAGGCUCUGACCAACUACCGAUGCCUGUCAUGGCUUAAGUCGAAAGUCUGACCUUACAUUUCUCAUAUAUUGGGUUAAGAAUCUGACCGAUCAUUGAUGUUUGUCACAGUCACACACACACACACACACACACACGCUCACACACACAUACUCGCACUCACACUCACAUUCACACACACUCACACUCACACUCACAGAUAUAUAAGCUAUCACCUCUAAUCUGAUAAGUCUAGACAAAAUUCCAUAUUACUAUGUAUAGAAUUAAUUAGGCACAAGAUUGUGUUUCGUCUCUUGAUGAGUUUGGGUAUGAAAGCAAACUCACAUCAUACUCACAUCAUACUCACAUCAUACUCACACUCACACUCACACUCACACGCACAUAUACGCACACACACACACACACUCACACUCAUACUCACACUCACACUCACACUCACACUCACACUCACUCACACUCACACUCACACUCACAGUUAUAUAUAGUAUCACCUCUAAUCUGAUAAGCCUAUGCAAAAUUCCAUAUUACUUUGUAU